GAUGAAGAACGCAGCGAAAUGCGAUAAGUAAUGUGAAUUGCAGAAUUCAGUGAAUCAUCGAAUCUUUGAACGCACAUUGCGCCCCCUGGUAUUCCGGGGGGCAUGCCUGUCCGAGCGUCAUUACAACCCUCAAGCUCAGCUUGGUGUUGGGCCCCGCCGCCCCGGCGGGCCCUCAAGUCAGUGGCGGUGCCGUCCGGCUCCGAGCGUAGUAAUUCUUCUCGCUCUGGAGGUCCGGUCGUGUGCUCGCCAGCAACCCCCAAUUUUUUUCAGGUUGACCUCGGAUCAGGUAGGGAUACCCGCUGAACUUAAGCAUAUCAAUAAGCGGAGGA
rnacentral:misc_RNA from 1 species